rnacentral:rRNA from 1 species
GACGAACGCUGGCGGCGUGCUUAACACGUGCAAGUCGAACGGAAAGGCCCUGCUUUUGUGGGGUGCUCGAGUGGCGAACGGGUGAGUAACACGUGAGUAACCUGCCCUUGACUUUGGGAUAACUUCAGGAAACUGGGGCUAAUACCGGAUAGGAGCUCCUGCUGCAUGGUGGGGGUUGGAAAGUUUCGGCGGUUGGGGAUGGACUCGCGGCUUAUCAGCUUGUUGGUGGGGUAGUGGCUUACCAAGGCUUUGACGGGUAGCCGGCCUGAGAGGGUGACCGGCCACAUUGGGACUGAGAUACGGCCCAGACUCCUACGGGAGGCAGCAGUGGGGAAUAUUGCACAACGGGCGGAAGCCUGAUGCAGCAACGCCGCGUGCGGGAUGACGGCCUUCGGGUUGUAAACCGCUUUCGCCUGUGACGAAGCGUGAGUGACGGUAAUGGGUAAAGAAGCACCGGCUAACUACGUG